GUUGGGUCCUGGGUUCUUUGUUGUGAAUACUCCAUCCAAGGUGACGACUCCCUAUAUCACAGGAAGCCAAAGGAAAGAUUCUAUCAGCACUGAUAAUGCCUCUGAAGGAGUAAGUCUGGUAUUGAAAGAGAAGCUUGGCUUGAAUGGGAUUCCACAGCAGUGUAAAUGCCUAUGUGUCUACACCUGCACAUCUGUUUGCAGAAUUGAGGCCUUUCUGUGAUUCAGCCAAGCACCCCAAAUCUGACUGCUGAUCCCAGCUCCCUUGAAAUGAUGAGUUGAGCUGUUGGAUGGUCUAAUAACAGGAGCCACCAAAUAGCCAUACAGAGACAAGUAAGAAUGAAGUCGGCCAAGGCUAUCCAAGACCCAGACUUGUGUACCUGUUCCUCUGUAGCCCUCCAACUAAAAGACCUGAACUGGAGAGAUAUUGAGGACCUACUGUUCCCAUCAAAGUCAGUCAGCCAGUGGAAAAGAACAACUUACCUGGAUUUUGCUGAGAUGAGCAUCACAGAGAAAGUCAAUACAAAAGAAGAAUGAAUCUUCCUGUCUUCUUGCAUAAGCUAGAUA